rnacentral:rRNA from 1 species
UUCCGGUUGAUCCUGCCGGACCCCACUGCUAUCGGAAUAGGACUAAGACAUGCUAGUCGAGCGCCUCCCAGCCACGACGGAGGCGCGGCGCACAGCUCAGUAACACGUGGCUAACCUGCCCUCGGGACGCGAAUACCCCCGAGAAACUGGGGCUAAUCCUCGAUAGGUGAAGAACUCUGGAUGAGUCUCCGCCCAAAAGACGCUUAAAUCAUGCUUCAGGCCCGCCCAAGGAUGGGGCCGCGACCGAUCAGGUAGUUGGAGAGGCAACGGCUCACCAAGCCUUUAACCUGUGCGGGCCGUGGGAGCGGGAGCCCGGAGAUGGGGACUGAGACCAGGGCCCCGGCCCUACGGGGCGCAGCAGUCGUGAAAACUUUGCCAUACACGAAAGUGUGACAGGGCUAUCCAGAGAGCCAUCCGCUGAGGAAGCUCUUACRCAUUCUAGAAAGCUGKGAGAAUAAKGAGARGGCCAGUCUGGUGUCAGCCGCCGCGAGRAUACCAGCUCUCUGAGUGGUGGGAUSAGUAUUAGGCCUAAGCAUCSGGAGCUGSCCAAGUUAGUUCCCUGUUAAGCCCACCCAAUUAAUCGUUGGAGUGCGGGGGAUACUGCUCGGCUAGGGGACGAGAGACCCCGACGGUAUUUCCGGGGUAGGGGUGAAAUCCUAUAAUCCCGGGGAGGACCACCAGUGGCGAAGGCUGUCGGCUAGAACGCGCCCGACGGUGAGGGAUGAAAGCUGGGGGAGCGAACCGGAUUAGAUACCCGGGUAGUCCCAGCUGUAAACGAUGCAGGCUAGGUGUUUGGGCGGCCACGGGCCGCUCUAGUGCCGCAGGGAAGCCGUUAAGCCUGCCGCCUGGGGAGUACGGUCGCAAGGCUGAAACUUAAAGGAAUUGGCGGGAAGGGCGAAU